AACGAACGCUGGCGGCGUGUUUAAGACAUGCAAGUCGCACGGGAUAAGACAUGUAGUAAUACUUGUUUUAUUUAGUGGCGCACGGGUGAGUGACACGUGAAUUACAUGCCCUAUAGUGGGGAAUAGCCCAGGGAAACUUGGAUUAAUACCCCAUGGCAUCGAAAGAUUAAAGGUGGCCGCAAGGCUGUCGCUAUAGGAUUGGUUCGCGCCCUAUCAGCUUGUUGGUGAGGUAACGGCUCACCAAGGCAAUGACGGGUACCUGGUCUGAGAGGACGAUCAGGCACACUGGAACUGAGACACGGUCCAGACACCUACGGGUGGCAGCAGUCGAGAAUAAUUCACAAUGGGGGCAACCCUGAUGGUGCAACGCCGCGUGGAGGAUGACGGUCUUCGGGUUGUAAACUCCUGUCAUCUGGGAGAAAGACCUGACGGUAAAUAGCCGGCAGGGUUGAUAGUACCAGAAGAGGAAGGGACGGCUAACUUCGUGCCAGCCGCCGCAGUAA
rnacentral:rRNA from 1 species